GCCGGGCGUGGUGGCCCUCGCCUGUAAUCCCAGCGGCUCGGGAGGCUGAAGCAGGAAGAUGGCAAAUUCGAGGCCGUUUGCAGCAAUUU
rnacentral:sRNA from 1 species